rnacentral:rRNA from 1 species
UACGGGGGGGGCAAGCGUUGUUCGGAAUUACUGGGCGUAAAGGGCUCGUAGGUGGCCAACUAAGUCAGACGUGAAAUCCCCAGGCUCAACUUGGGAACUGCGUCUGAUACUGGAUGGCUUGAAUUCGGGAGAGGGAUGCAGAAUUCCAGGUGUAGCGGUGAAAUGCGUAGAUAUCUGGAGGAACACCGGUGGCGAAGGCGACAUCCUGGACCAACACUGACGCUGAGUGAGCGAAAGCCAGGGGAGCAAACGGG